rnacentral:lncRNA from 1 species
AAAUAUCUAGCUCGUGAUUCCUUUGCCCCUUAAAUCGUCCUCUACGCGCGUCCUAUCUAACCAAAAUCAAAGCGAAUACAUCACAAUAUGCUAAGGGAACAAUACACAAUCGAAAACAAUCGAGAAAUAGCAAAAAUCACGAAGUUGGCAAAACCUGAGCCUCGGACCCGCUUCUCGAAAAAUUAUGAAAUUUAUAUUACUGAAUUCCACGUCUCGCCACGAGUCCGUAUAUAUCAAAUUUAUCAAAAUCAGAGUUUAAAUGACCCCUCAAAACUCCAUUUUAACUCUCUUAAGUUUCAAGCCUUAAACCACCAUUUUUGCCCGUAAAUUACUUGAGUUUUCAGCUCUAAUCCAUCUAUUAGCAUCAUAAAAUUGAGUUUUAAGUUCAAGAAACUUACCUCAAGUCGUUUCUCCCUUGAAUCCCUCUUUAAUCUCCACAAAGAAGCUCUCAAAAUGAUUAACCAUGGAGGAAAAAUGACCCAAAAUCACGGAUAUAAACUCAUUGCCCAUAUAUUUUUCGGAAUUACUGUUCACACAUGAGGUAUUGCUCGCACGCAAUAAUGUUCACACGCUUUAAAAAAAACCCAGCAACUGCCCAAUAAAUUGCAUCAGUUUUUGUUUCACUAAAAUAGCUCUAAAUCUAUCAUACGAACUCGAAUUAGACAAUUAUUAUUCCUAUGAGUCACAAAUAAUAAUACAAACACAACCCCUGAAUCGAAACUCAAUUCGGAGCUCAUUUGCCCAGUUCAAUACCCAUUUCGCUCGUUAAAUAAUUAACUCAUUUUUUGCGUCAAAAACCCAAUCGCGACUUGAAUAAAUUAGACCAAGAUUUUCAGAUCAGUCCUAUAAUUCAUUAUCAAAAUUCCAGAAGUCUCAAAAUCAAUUUGGAUCUCUAUAACUAAAAAUGAAUCUUUAGAUCAUUACAUGUUUAUGCUCAAAACGGCAAAAAUCUUCCAAAAACUCUUUCAAAAGAUAACCGAGCCUCAUGGGACUCCGGCCAAAUAUGCCAACAUAGUUCAUAACAUUAUUCAAACAUGUUUCAAUCAUCAAAGCACCUAAAACAACAUCAAAUUACUCAAAACUCAUCGAAUUCAAGCCUAAUUUUCUAAAGACUUACGAAAUACACUUUUGAUCAAAAACCCGACCUAAACACCUCUCAAUGACUUGAAAUUUUACACACAUAUCCAAAAUCACCUAACAGAGCUAUUUUAACUUUCGAAAUUCCAUUCCCACCAUCGGAUCAAAAUCUCACCUAUCAACCGAUUUCGCCAAAAUACUAACUUCGACAAUUCAAGCCUACUAUUGAUAUUUAUUUUUUCCCCAUAUAUUUUUAUACUAAAAAUAGCAUAUGUACUUAUAUAUGAGCAUCCCAUAAUAUUUUGGCAUUUAAAAGUAUUUUUAAACUAAUUUAUGUCCUAUUUUUACAUCAUAAAUCCCAAUAAUUAUUCCCAAAACUUGUCAUUUUGGAGAAUAGUUUAUAUAUUCUAACAUUUAUAUCAAAACAUAAUUUACAUAAUUUUUGUAUAAUUUUACAAGUCUAUUUGGUAUUUUAAAACUAAAAUGCACGAAAUUUUAAUUUUAGCCCACUUUCAGAUUUAAUAGUAAUUUUAACUACAAAAUUAAUCACAAUUUUUUUGAAUUAAUACUUACAUAUUAUUUACUAACUCAAUAUUUUUAAUUUAAUUUUAGACAUCUUUUACUAUUUUUAUAAAAUCAAAAGGAAAAAUUGGCUAUUUCAAUUAUGGCCACAAUUACUUUCAACUAUAGACUAUUUCGGCAUCUCAAUGUUGACCCCAAAUACAGCCCAAAUCGACGACCCAGUUCUAUUUUAACCCGGCCCUUUACCCGUUUAAUUAAACCAGUCUGUUUCAUCUUUUAAUCACGGUCAUUGAUCAUUUUGAUCAAUGGCCCACAAUCACUCUUUCUUUUUAAAUUUCAAACACCUAACCCUACUCUCAUUUCCAUUUCAGUCGCCGCCCUCAAACCUUCCGCCCCUUCUCUCAAAACUCUUUUUAACACUAGAAACCCUACUCAUCCGUAUCGUCUUCUCUGACCAAAGCUCGUCAGCGUCCAUGGCUUCUCAGGCCAUAACGGCCUGUGCUCUCUUGCCUUCACUCCAAAUCGUGUUUGUUCAAGGAUUUCGAGGUCCAACCUCCAUUAGGCCUGUUCAGAUCCUCCCGAUCUGAGUUCUUAUGGUUUCUCCGGCUCCGUUCCGACGUGUUCAAGCCUUGAAAGGCCUAGCCAUAGUCCAGACCUGUUCGAGACCAGAUCCUUUCCAAGCCUUCUCGUUUUUAGGAUUUUCUGAGAAACCUUAAAAAGCUUGUUUGAGGUUCUUUCUUCCUUUAUUUUCUUAGAUAUGUGACAGAUCUUUGUUAUACUUGAUGUUUUAAUGUUUUCCCCAAUUUUCCUUCUCAAAAUUAGUCUGUUUAAUUUAGGGUUUUCAAAAAUCUCAAAAACGAUUCUUCUUCUUCUUCUUUCUUAUGUGAAUCUAUCUGUUCAUGCCGUGUCUUAUGUGUUCUUGCGUGUUCUUAUGUUAUGCCAUUAAUACACAUGUUUCUCUAUUUGUGCUAUGUUAUUCCUUCUACUGGUUUUCUACAACAUGUUUUACUUGUCUAUCUUACGUGUUCCUUUACUAUUUUUCUUACUGAGUUUUGAUUACCUUUACUGGAUCUUUGUUUAGGUUCUAAAACUAAUUUUCUACUGUCUCCUAAGUUCUAUGUUACCCCUUUUUCUCUCCUAAAACUUGGUUGAGUUUUGAGCUUUCUCUCAAACCUGUUCUUUAUGAUUUUCCUCUCUACUGCUUCGAACUUUCUUUGUGUAUCUGUGUGCUUUCUCACAAGACUCUGAAAGCGUUCUUUGAGUCUGUUUUGAGGGCUUGCCUUCACCUUUCUAUAUCCUACUCGAAAUGAAACCCUAGAUUUGGGAUUUUUGCGAGUUUUGGUCUUUAUGACUGGACUAGGGUUCUACUCUAGAACCCUGGGUUCUCUCAAACUCAUGCUGAGUCAAAGACUAAACUGGAAUCCUUUUGUUUGUGAUUUGAAAACUUUGUAUUCCAGUCUUUUCUUUCUUGUUUGAUACUUAUAUAUGAGAGCAUUUCUUUCAAAAUGGUUUUGCUAACUUGUGAUUGAUUCCAAUUUCCUUUUACUAAGGCUCGAUUGAUUGUUACUAAUUUUUCAAAUAAACCUUUUCCUCCUCCUUUUCUGACUAAGUUCAUGCAAACAAGGUUUUAAAUUUCUUGAUGUUUCAUUGAUUUACUUUCCUUAUUUCUCAGACUGUGUACUAUAAGAUUCUUGACCCUUGUUAUGCUACUUUGGAAAGAUUUCUAAUUAUUCUUCUUUCCUUAAUUGUACCAUGCCCGUUUGAAAUCAAAUCCCUUAACCUAGGGGAGAUUCUUAUGUGAUUGACUGAAAGUUAUUUUCUUGCCUUGAUUAUUCGUUUUCUGCAUUAUAAAAGACACUACUCCUUUUGCACUUAAGGACAACCUUUGCAAUAACACACAAAAUUCAGAAUUAAGAACACGUUUUCGAAUACUUCUCACUUUCAAAUACCUUCUCUACUAUUACUUUCUCUAUUGAGUGCCCUACUCUUUUUCUCUUUCUUGUUGAAACAUUCUAGAGUUCUUUUGAAUUCUCAAGUGCUUUCUGAAGUUUCUGAGUUUUCUCCUGCUGACUUUCUGGCUGUUUACUUACUUUUGUUUGUUUGUUGUUCUAAACUUGCAAGUGGUAUGUCCCUCUAGUUAAAUAAUACCAUUUAAACUAUGUGGUUAUUUUAUGACGUGAUCUCAUGCACUGUGUGUUCAUCCUAUUCUGUUAUGAUCUCCUUCCUUAUGCUUCUGCACCCUUAGUUUGUUAUGCUUUCUUGCUUUCCUUGUGUUUCUGUAGAUGCUUGUCUAUGUGAGUCCCUUCCUUUGGCCUCUUCUUGUGUUGAGUGCAGUUCUGAGUCAUGGUAGCAUCCUAUUUCCACCCAUGACUUAGAAUCAGGUUCUCUUGAACCUCUACUCAAAUCAAUCCCCACCCCCUUUCCCUUUUAUGUGAUGAGCCUUGACUCAAGCCUGGUGGUGUCCUAAUCACCAUCCAAACUCAAGUCUAACCUCUAAGGUCUGCUCUUAAUUUGUGUGGACCAAGUAACUGGUCGAGGUGUGCUAGUCUAUAUCCAUGCCUGGGCAUGACCACCAUUGCUAUGGUUCUCUAAUCCCUCUCUCACUUUGCACUUAUUCCUAGUUCUAAGUUCUGCCCCCCUUUGGUAAGCCAUGCUUUGGGACCCUGGAUCUCCCUCUGAACUUGGAUGCUUUAGGGCUGGCUAUUCCACACUACACUAUUCUGUUCUAAUUAUUAUGCAGAGUGUAACCACUGGCUGGAGCCCUUGAGACUCCUUGGAACUAUGAAACACUUUGGAUGAGAGAAAGCCUUGGAAAUCUGGAAUCCGGAAUUGAUGAAACACGUGCUAUGGGAUAUUAAAGAUUGCAUUAGGCGGUCUUGAUCUAGCUGUAGUCUGUGAUGUAUUUUAAUUAUUUUCUUUCUUCUGGUCCUGUAAUAAUUCUGUGUAUAAAACUCGGGGAAGUAUUAGUGAAAGGGUGCGUGAGGGAUUUACUUUAUUGCAUGUAAUAAAGAGUAGAUACCAUGCCUAUAGGAUUAAUGUCGUAAUUCAGUCACCUAGAUACCAUGCCUAUUUGAUUAAUGUUGUAAAUCAAUCACCUAGAUGUCAUGCCUAUAGGUUUUAAUGUUUUAACUCGAUCAUCUAGCUACUAUGUCUAUAGACUUAAUGCAUAAUCUAGUCAUCUAGAAAAUGUGCCUAUAGGGUUUAAUGUUUUAUCAUCUUGCAAAUCAUUAGGAACCCUGCAUAUAGGGCGUAAUAUUCAUGUAAGAAGUUACAUAUAGAAACCAUGUCUAUAGGAAAUGCAUACCCGUUAGGAAAAACUAUAGUAUAAUCAAACCCGCCGUCUAUUUACCCACUCUGUAAUAAGUUCUAAAAUCCAGAAGAAGUCUGUCUCACUUAAUCUGUUUAAGUAAUAAUAAUUGGGUAACUGGUUUUAAUGUUUCAGUGUCACGUUUUCAAUAUAAAACUCUUAUGAGCCUGCAAUGCUUUUAAUUUUUUUGCAAAUCUGUCCGAAGUAAUUCUUUUAAAUUUUCUGCUUAUCUCUUGAAGCUAUCUUUCAAAACAGUCCUUUAAUUCACUCUUUCUUUAAGGUAUUUUGCAUUUUUUGCAAGUCUUUUGUAUUUUUACUCAAACAAAUUUGCAGAUUUCAAAGUCAUUUCUGAACUUCUGCAAUUUUCAACUUCCUUUUUAAAUUCUUAUGCAAUAGACUCUUGUAUGAAAUCAGUGCUUUCUAAAUAACUCGUUUAAAAUAAUUCAAUUUCUGACAAUUGGAUCCGAGUUGCCUAGUGCAGACUUUUUAUCUAGUUCUAUGUGUUAAACUGGUCCGUCCGCCGCUUAAGUUUUAAUUUUAAGACCAAACCACUAUGUGUAAGACAUGCUAAACUAUAUGUUAUCUGACUUACAUGGUUUUAUGUGAACCUUGCAUGUUUGUUUGACAAUCCCCUUAUAUUCUAUUUGUUUUGGUUGUCGAAAUUAGUAUUUUGUUCUUUAAACCCCAUAUAUGCUUUACCCCUUUCCUUCCCCUUUAGGAUUAGAAGUCCUAAUACCCCAGGACUGAUAGGUUGGGACGGGUACUAGCAUGCAAUAAGUAAACAAGUCUAAUCGUGUUUAAAUACCUUAAUGGGGUAGGAAAGGUAGAAUAUGGAUCAUGACCCGUGCACUAAUAUCUCGUGCGACCCCUCUUUUGAGGAGUGAUUGCUGGGUAUUGCGUUGAUGUGAUCCAUAUUUUGUAUAAACCUAGGACCCCCUUUCUUUUCCUUUUAUUUGCAAUGUCUUCUUUAAUUAUGUUCUUCAAAUUAAUUCCCUUUUCUAAAAACUAUCUCUUUCUGUCUUCUUUACCCUUUUCAAAACUUGAAAAUUAUUCGUAAUUCUUACAUGCAAAGCUUUACUUGUUUUCUAUCACUUCCUCUUAAAGUCACAAUUAAAGCAUGGCCGAGAACCACAUAUUCUUCAAAUUAAUUCCGUUUUCUAAAAACUGCCUCUUUCUGUCUUCUUUACCAUUUUCAAAACAUGAAACUUAUUCUUGAUUCUUAUGUCCAAAGCUUUACUUGUUUUCUCUCACUUCCUUUUAAAGUCACAAUUAGAGCAUCACCAGGAACCACACUAGUGGAUCUUGAGGGGUGCCUAACACCUUCCUCUCGAGAUAAUCUUAAGCCCUUACCCGAAUUCUGGUUUUCUUUCAAAAUCGCUUCUUCUCUUUAAAGUGUCCUAAUGCACUAUAAUCAUUAGGUGGUGACUCUUCAAAUUUUAUAACCCGAUCCCGCAUGGGAAUAAGAGUUGUUUUUCCCAUAAUGUCGUAAACCCGAUUUUGUUCUUUAGGAAAAAGGGGGAUAUCGACGCCUACUUCUACACCGAACCUCCAAAUUAACUUCUUAUCAUACUCCUAAGUCACAAAUCAUCCCCCGAAGCUAACCGAAUCAUCAGAAAUCACAUCCGAGCCCUCUAACUCAAUAGUCAACAUUCGGUUGACUUUUCCAACUCAAGUUUCCCUAAAAGAGACUAAGUGUCUCAAACCUUAUCAAAUCAUUCCGGAAUGACUUUAAACUUUGCAUACAAGUCACAUUCGACAUUACGGACUUGCCCUAUCUUAUGGAAUCACAUUCCAACUCCGCUAUCAAAAUUUCCACUUCCGGUCGAAUUUUCUCAAAACCUUCAAAUUUCUAUAUUUAGUCAAAUGACUUCAAAAUGACCUCCGGAAAUCGGAAUUUACUUUAGAUGCGUUCCCAACUCCAGACUGACCAUACGGAGCUAUUCCCAGACUCGGAAUCCCAAACAGACAUCUGUAACACUGAAAUGCCUUCCCAUCCAAAUUUAUGAAAUUCAUAUAAAAUACUAAUUUCCACAACAUAUGCCGAAAUGAUCACGGGUUAUCCAACACCAAAUCCAGAUAUACACACAAGUCCGAAAUCAUCAUACAAAUAUGCUAGAACUUUCAGAUCCCGAUUCCGAGGUCGUUUACUCAAAAUUCCAAUAUUAGCCAUUUUCAUCAACUUAAGGUUGCCGCAAUGAAAAUUUUCUUUCCAAUUUGACUCCGGAUUUUCCGAAAUUCAACUCUGACCAUACGCAUAAGUCAAUAUACACUAAACGAAGCUGUUCAUGACAUACAACUGCUGAACGACGCGCUAUAGCUCAAAAUGACCGAUCGGGUUGUUACAUUCUCCCCCACUUAAAUAGACGUUCGCCCUCGAACGUUUUAAGAACUGCUCCUAAGUUAUCUGAAAUCACUUUUAAUACCUCGUGCACCUGCCCGUGCUACCACAACUCAUAUGGACACAUUGGUUUGAUCAAAUCUGCAAAUAUCCUCUUUUAUCUAUACAAUAAGCUCAGAACCCAAUUCCAACACCUGAAGUUCUAUGCCAGACAUGUUCCCUGUAUAUAAACACUAUAUCAACUACCACACGAGGUACCGGAACAAAACUGUGUACCUUUUUUGAAUUAGCACCAUCCAUCGCAUAAUUCACCAUGUAACCACAAUGACAAUCCAUGAACCUUAAUAGCCAAAAUUCCACGACUCUGAUAAUCCCAAUGCAUAUGAUGAUAUACCUAUACAUGCUGUUAUAAUGUUGACGAUACAACCACAAUGGAGGAGAUGUGCAGAAGUUUCUAACCAUUUGCAGAGUUAACCCAACAUUAAUUCUCUCCUUUUGACUAAAAUCAUCACCUCAUUACUACGGGAACAAGAUACAUAAAGAAAUGAUUCCGGAAUGGGCUGCUCAACUCACACAAUUAAUAUGGACUUUUCCCCAGAGAAUAGGAAUUUAUUAAGCCGUUUCACGGCACACAUGGCACAAUCAUAAUAUUAUAUGAAUUGACGAACAUAAAACAACAUAUGAUAUUCCAACACCCCUCCUUGAGGAGCGCUAUACUGAAAUGAACAUAUCUGACUCAUAUAGAGCACAUAAUCUUAUUUAAAUCCAUUCGCCCACUUCAGGUCGAUUCUGCUCGCACUGAACUAGGCUGAUAGCCUUUCCUGGACCCGUAAUAAGUCAUUUCUUCUCAUAACAUGCAUGAACUACAAACCAUAGAUGGGUAAGCACCCCAUAAUCCAUAACCAAAUGAACCGAACGACUUCAUAUAGAUCUUAGAUAUUUUUCCAAUAUUUCAACUUUCUUAUGUCCCCAAAAUUUGACUAACUCUCAGAUUUUUCAAAUAUUUUUGGCAGAGUCUCCAUUGUAAUUAGGCCCAUCCACCUGUCAGAGCAACACCAAAACAACUCCUAACAGCAUGUCCACAACCCAACAAGUACCACAAGUAUAUCAAUAACACUAAUCUCUGCAUUACAAGCCCGACAUUAUCACAAUGAUAUCUUGACUUGAAACACAUCAUUUGUAUGAUCAUAACCACAUUUCUGGUCUUAGUAGUUAUUCAUAAAUAAUUCCAUCAUUAGCAAUAAAUCUCAUAUUAACCACCACCUCAUUUCAAAUUGUCACAAUACUAACAAUAGAAUGUGAGGCAUGAAGACCUCAUUAUUACUUAAUCGAAUUAAUGAGUCACAUUUAACACCACCUGGGAACUCAUCUAAUAAGCUAAAACUCAAUGUUUACAGUACUAAAAUGGCUGAAUAUGAACAUAAAAUAUACAAGAAUUAUCAAAUCAACCUAACCGGCAUGACUCCCUUUUAAUAUUAUCGUACAAAUUAAACUUUACAAAGGAAAACUUUAAACUCAUAAGUUUUUACCACAAAGACCUCGUCCUUACAUAACCUCCACAACAACUUGCAGCCCGGUUUAAAUAUUUCACAUUAUACAAACUGCAGUUUUCAAUUUCGUUUCUUUCUUCUUCUCAAUAAAUUUCGUAAACACAUUAAACCCAUUGUAGUGAAUAAUAAACAUAACUUUAACUUUCCCCAAAAUCCUUGGAGCUCAAUUUCUAACAUCCAGACUUCUUUUCAAGGCCCGAAUCUCACAUACACACACUGUAUAAGUCCGAACAAACUGUGUCAAGCCAUAACAAUAACCCUAGACUUCCUGGACACCCAUACCUACAGCUAACCUCAGACCCAAGAUACAUGCCUCAUAUUCUUCCAUGUUGUUAGUACAAUAGAAACAAAGCUGAGCCGUAACAGGGUAGUGCUGCUCUGUUUCAAAAAUAAGUACCGCUCAUAUCCCCACGUUUUUCAUAUUUGCAGCUCCAUCAAAGAAAAGUUUCCAUACAGGCUUCUCAACUUGUUCCAACUCCUCAAACUGCAUCACCUCUUCAUCGGGGAAAUAAGUUUUCAAAGGUUCAUAAUCUUCAUCAACUGGAUUCUCGGCCAAAUGAUCUGCCAAAGCUUGUGCUUUCAUCGCAGUCCGAGUCAUAUAGACAAUAUCAAACUCUGUAAGCAGGAUCUGCCACUUUUGCAAGCCUCCCUAUGGGAAUAGGCUUCUGAAAAAUAUACUUCAAUGGAAGUAACCGAGAAAUGAGGUAAGUGGUAUAUGAUGACAGAUAGUGUUUAAGCUUCUGUGCGAUCCAAGUUAAGGCACAACAUGUCAUCUCGAGAUGAGUAUACUUAACCUCUUAAGAUGUGAACUUCUUGUUGAGGUAAUAGAUAGCCUGCUCCUUUUUGCCAGUAACAUCGUGCUGCCCCAGUACACAACCAAAUGAGCUAUCCAAAACCAUCAAAUAUAGAAUCAAAGUCCUCCCUGGUUCUGGUAGGACCAACAUGGGUAGGUUCAACAAAUACCUGUUUAUCUUAUCAACAGCCUCCAGACAUUUAUCUCUUUCUUCAACAGUUUGAAGAUCGGCUCACAAGUUUUCGUGAACUGAGUAAUGAACCUGCUGAUAUAAUUCAAUCUUCCCAACAGAUUCAUCACCUCAGUUUUGUUCCUUGGAGGUGGCAAUUAUUGAAUAGCCUUGAUCUUUGACGGGUCUAGUUAAAUACCCCGGUGGCUGACUAUAAAUCCCAACAACUUUCCAGAUGGCAUCCCGAAAGCACACUUUGCAGGAUUAAGCUUGAGACUGUACCUGUGAAGCCUUUGGAAAAAUUUCCUCAUAUCCCUGACAUGGUCAAACUUGUGACUAGACUUCAUGAUCACAUCAUCCAGGUAUACCUCAAUUCUUCAUGUAUAAUAUCAUGUAAUAUUGUAGUCAUUGCCCUCAUAUAGUUUGCCCCAGCAUUUUGCAAACUAAACGGCAUGACACGAUAAUAGUAUGUUCCCCACGGCAUGAUGAAUGCCUUAUUUUUUUGCAUCUUCCUCGUCCAUUAAAAUCUGAUGAUAACCCGCGUAACAAUCCACAAAAGAACCAAUCUCAUGUUUGGCGCAAUUAUCAAUCAAUAUGUGGAUGUUCGGCAGUGGGAAAUUGUUUUUGGACUCGCCUUGUUACGAUACCGAUAAUCAACACACACCCUGGUCUUGCCAUCCUUUUUUCGGCACCGGCACAACAUUAGCUAACUAUGUGGGAUACCGAGUGACCCGAAUGACUUUCGCAUCGAAUUGCUUGGUAAUCUUUUCUUUGAUCUUUACACUUAUAUCUAUUUUGAACUUUCUCAGCUUUUGCUUGAUAGGAGGGAGUGCCGGGUCAGUUGGUAAUUUGUGAACCACUAAAUCAGUGCUCAAGCCCAGCAUGUCAUCAUACGACCAUGCAAAAAUAUCCUUAUACUCAAACAAUGCUUUGAUUAUCUCCUCCUUGAGUUGUGGUUCCAGGUGAACACUUAUUUUAGUUUCACGGAUAUUAUCUUAGUCCCCUAGAUUCACUACUUCUGUGUCAUUUAGGUUAGGUUUAGUUUUUUCCUCAAAGUCGCUUAAUUCCUUACUAAUUUCUUCAUAGGCCUCGUUGUCAUCAUAUUCCACCUCACCAUCACACUCAAUUUCUUGUAUUAUUAUUUGUGAGUUAGAUUGGCUAUUAAAACUAGGCUGAAGAUUCCUCAUGCAUGUCAUGUCAUUGAUAUCAGCAUAAAAAGAACUAUACAGAGAAGAAAAGAAAAUGGAAACAAAAUUAGGAAUGAAGAAAGAAAGACGAUUGCAUUUCAUUGAAUAUAAAGAUAACAUGGCUUAACACAUCCAACUAGACGGAAGAUAUUAUCUGAAUUACAAACCCUAGAAUAAUCCAGAAAAUAAAAAAAAUGAAAAUGCAUUACCAAGACUCCCUCCGAGUAGGAAGAGGAGUAGCUUCCCAGUUGGUGACAUUUGCACAUGGUCCGACGAACUGCACAUCUGCCUUGUUUGGCCCUUCCUCGACCUCAACCAUGUUAACCUCAGUGAACAACCUUUCAAACCCUUUAUCCAAGUCUUCAUCAGCACCAAUCAACGACCCUGUAACCUUUGACAUCAAAUGCUUUUUGAUACCCGACCUAACAAAGGAUCUGGACAGAUGCAGAAUUGGCUUGGGAAGGACCCAUACCCUCUUCUUCAUUUUUCAAGCCCGCCUUACAUCCAUAUUAGUACGCUUGAAACCUAAUCCAAAAGUAUCCAAAUUCUUAGGAAGUGAUAUUGGCUGUACAAUGCCAUAAAGAUCAGCACUUAAACCUUUUUCUGGUAUGAAACCGUUCUUUAACAUUUCAGAAGCCACCACGACAGUUUCAACUGCUAUUCUAGGAGCUGGGAUGCUUUUCCCCUCCAGGAUAUUUUCACUGAUAUUGUAUCAAAGACUUGGUAAACCCACGACCCCUUGUCAUUAUCAGCUUCUAUGAAAGUCACAAUGGCAUCACUUUAAAGCACACAUAUUGUCUUCACUAUGCACUACAAUCUCGUGUCUAUCCCAUUCGAACUUGACCAUCUAAUGUAAGGUGGACGACACCACCUUGGCAGCAUAGACCCAUGGACGCCCCAACAAGAGGUUAUAAGAUACCACCAUGUCUAAUACGUGGAAUUCCAUAGUGAACUUCACCGACCCAAUUGUCAGUUUUAGUACUAUGUCAUCCAUUGUGUCUUUACCUCCACCAUCAAACCUUCGAACACAGAUGCUAUUUUUGUGAACUCUGUCAUUAUAAACCUUAAGUUUAUUCAACAUGGACAAAGGACAGAUGUUUGAACUGGACUCAUUGUCAACCAAUACUCGAGUGACUACGAAAUCCUCACACUUCAUUGUCAGAUAAAGAGCUCUAUUAUGUUUUGUGCCUUCCACGGGCAAAUCAUCAUCGGAAAAGGUCACUCUAUUCACCUCAAAGAUCUUCUUCGCUAUCUUCUCUAAAUGAUUCACCAAAAUCUUAUCAUGAACAUGAGCCUCAUUCAGUAUUUUCAUCACUGUUCUGUGAUGCUCGUCUGAGUGGAUAAGCAGUGAAAGCAAUAAAAUUUGGGCCGGUAUCUUCCUUAACUAUUCAAAAAUAGAGAAAUCCUGCUACUUCAUCUUUUUCAAGAACUCUUUUACUUCUUCUUCCGCCAUGGCUUUCUUAACCAGUACUGGGUUAUCUUUGAGAACCCUGGUUUUUUUCAACUCUUCAGGGGCAAAGCACCUUCCUGAAUGUGUUAGACCCUGUGCUUCACCGACUUCAUCUUUGAUUUUUUCCCUUAUAUGUCACCGCCACUGGUUCGUAAUUCUGAGGAAAGAUUUUGUUGUUGGUCAGCGGCAACUAAGUUACCGGCUUUAUGAUAACCGGAUCUAUGUGAAAUCUCUUUAAAACACAGGUUUGUUUGCUGCCCCUUGCACCACCACUUUGACCGGCUCUGAUUUUACGACAACAUUGCUCGGUGACCUUUUCUCGGCUACCACAACUGGCUUGAUGUGCGUUUCUUUCAACUGAACCACUGUCUUCUCAUUGGUUGAUUUUUCUUUUGAACUGUUUUCACUAGCAGGAAUCAUCAUUACUAUUUGCGAGGGUUUGUUAAGCUCCCAUCCCUUGUGUACCAAUUCAAUUUUGUGGCUUCGUGAUGAUCUGGCAAUAGAUUCUAGUUAAUAUUUGAUGCCUUCGGGGCCUGAACUUCAAUUCGGUAAGUGUCAAUGAGCUCUUGCACAAUGGUCUUCAACUUCCAACACGUUUCUGUAUCAUGUCCGGGGGCUCCAGAACAGUACUCAACGCUUAGUAAAUGGUCCAGAUUUCGAGGAAUGGGAUUCAGCAUUAUGGGUUCAAUUGGAUUCAACAGGCCUAGAUGCUUCAAUUUGUGAAAAAGGCUGGUAUAUGAUCUCCCAGUGAAGUGAAUGUCUUUUGUUUUUGUGCCCUUUCAUUUUGAAAGCUUGGUUUGGCCGGAAACCUGCUCCCAAGGGGUUUCUACAGGCCCUUGGGGGUGGAUAUGUGUUUUGUGGUGCUAGGUAUGAGUUUUGGGGAGGCAGUGCAUGCCAUUGCGCACGAGCCGGAGGCUGGGUAUAAGUUUGAGCAUGGUGGAUGAAAAAAUGUGGAUCUGAUGGUGGGUAGUAGUGUUAUUGAGGGUUAUAUGGAGUGUAGGGGUAAUUUUAUUAGUGGUAUCGGGGUUGGUUGUAGUAGGGUGAAGGGCCUCUAGAUCUGAACCACGCUCCGGAUUCUACGGUUGCAACCUCGUCCUUCUUCUUUUUCCCGAGCACACCCCUAGUGCCACUUUAAAUAGCCUGGGUGGUUGCCUUGAUCGCUGAAUAACUCAUGAUUUUGUUAGUCUUAAGUCAUUCCUCAACCAUACUUCCAAUCUUCACAACAUUAUUAAAAGAUUUUCCAAUUGAUGUUACCAAGCGCCAAAAAUAUGUUGGCUCCAAAGCCUGCAAAAAGUAGUUGACCAUCUUGCUUUCUUUCAUCGGAGGGUCAACCCUCACAACCUGUUCUCUCCAACGUAAACCAUACUCCCUGAAACUUUCCCCGGGCUUAUUCUCAAGUUUUACGAGUGACAGGUGAUCUGGAAAGAUUUCUAGAUUGUACUGAAAAUGAAAGGCGAAUGCUUGUGCCAAAUCAUCCUAGGUAUACCACCUACCAUGAUCCUGACGUGCACACCAUUCCAAAGAAGACCCACUCAGAUUCUGGCUUAAGUACGCCAUCAAUAAUUUAUCUUUCCCAUCGGCCCCUCUCAUUUUGCUGCAGAAUCCCCUUAGGUGGGCCACCGGGCCGCCAUGCUAGUCAUAUAGAUCGAACUUAGGCAUUUUGAACCCUGCUGGUAACUGACAUCCAGGAAUAUACACAAAUCCUUAUAGGCCACACUGACUUUGCCACCCAGUCCUUGCAUGUUUGUGAAGGAUUGCUCCAGACUUUUUACUUUUCGAAUCAUCUCUUCCUGCUCCGGGUUCUUAAGCAGCUUUUCAGUUUCCACCGGUAGCUCAAAGUGAGGAGUGUAAUAAUAUGGCUCGGGAACUUUAAAGGUUGGCUCAAGAGGAUAGUACUGGCUGUCAUGGGCCUGAAAUAGUGGCUCACUGGAAGAUCUUUGCAGUGUGGCAGGUGAAGGUGCCACAAAGACAAGGGUGAUUGGUGGAGGAGAGUUUUGUUUGGGUGGUGGAGCUUGGGGAGGGUAUGAGGUGGUGCCAUAACUUGUUGGUAGAACGGGAAAUAUGGAGACGAAUUUACAGUAGGAGGCUCCUAAGAUUGAGUCAACUGUGGGAUAUAGGAUGGAUUGGCGGGAUAAACUGGCGCUGGCUGACCCCUAGACCAAGCCUGAUGCAUUUCAGCCAUUUUCUGCCUCAACUUAUGCAUUUCUUCCCUCAUUGCAGUAACAUCCAUCACCUCUACCUCUUUUCCCGUGUCCACAAUACUACUAUCGGAUUCUUGGCCUGUCAUUUUCAAUUUGUUUUUUGAUCGGGUGUUGUAGUAAUGGGUUGCUAGAAUGCCAAUCAACUAACCACCACCGUCAUAUGCACCUGAGCAGUUAAUAGAUUCUAUUAUGCAUUUGCUCGACUGCUUGCGUCAUCCCAACUUUUAUUUCCAACGGCCACUUUCUUUCUCUUUUUUCUUUCUUUUUUUUUUUUUUUUUUUGCAUUUCCUUUCUUUUAUCUAUUUCCUUUUCAAUUCUUACCUUUGUUUUCUCCUUAUUUUGGUUCUCUCAUUCCCUCGAUUUCUUAUUUUCUCCCUUUUCUUUCUUGUUUCUCCGUUUUUUUUCUUUUUUUUUCUUCCUCUCUUGUUUGUCUUCUUAUUUUGUUUUUUCGUUUUCAUUUGUUUACAGUCGAAUCCUAUGAAGAUUACCUACGUAUCUUGCCCCCACAUGAAUCAGACCUGGCGUAGUUCGUGAAGAUAAAAGGUAAAAAAACAAUAAAACAUAUUUUGGAACUUUCAAUUUUUUACAAUAAAACAAACUUUGAUUGCAAUGAUUUAAAAAUUCACAAACUUAAACAAAACUAAUAAACUCUGAAGAAAACACGAAAUACAGACUCGGAAAUCAGAGGAUCCACAUACUCUAAUAAAAAGAAAUACAAACUCAAAAACAGACUGACAGAUUCCUUCCCCUAUCUGCCAAUUUUAACCAAAUGGCUAUUUUUGCAAAUGUGUCCCCUUCCUAAUUUCACGUGAAUUUGAGGCCAGGGAGGAUUAUUUUAUGAAAAUUCACAAACUUAUCCGUACUUUUACGAAAAUAUCCUUUUGACAACUGAAAGAUACUGUAAGGCUAUCUCGACAAGAACAGUUUAAGAUACCGCUGAAGCUGGAUCGACUUAUCUUGACCAAAAUUCAAACGAUAUUCACUUGACCAAUGAUUCUUUUUUUUUGAAUUAAAAGAAAAGACUUCGUGUUGCAAACACGGCCUUUCAGCACCCCGGGGACGAAGAUUUUAAGGCUGCGUUUGCUAACCGGCCAAAAUCCUGAAAAAUGACCAAAGAUGGAUGGUCUUGCAAAAGCAGCCUUCCGGCGCCCUUUUAGGGACAUUCGGCUUGUUUUAAACAGAAUGGAAUCAUUCAACUUAUUUAUGAAAAAAAUUAAGACUUUGACAUUUUGGCUAUUUUUUUAAAGGGGAGGUUGGACCCGAUGAAAGUUGCCUACGUGUCUCACGUCCGGUGAGAAUCAAAGCUGCGUAGUUCGGGAAAACCAAACAAACUAUUUUGAGAACAAGACUCUUUUUUUUUCUUUUUCCACGACAAGUAAAACAAACUAUUUUUCUUUUUCCAUUGGGAAAUACACUAUGUGAAACCAAGAUAAACUAAAAUAAAGACUCAUUUUUCUUUUGCUUUUUGAAUAAAACGUUUUUUCGUUUUUCAUUUUCUCAAAAAUUCGACUAAGUUUCGACGCUAUUUGGGCAUUGGUUUUUCUAAAAGUAGGUAAUUAAAUCUCUACACUGCUAUUUCUUUUUUUUUUCUUUUUUUCUCAAUUUUUCGAUAUUUUCGAUAUUCAGAAGCCGGUCAGCAUGCAAGUCCAAAAUAAAUAAAUGCACAGAAAGCAAGUAGGAUGCAUCAAGAUGGUCUUUUUCAUUUCAGGUUGCUUGUCCUAGAUGGACCCAAACCCUGUGUUGAGUCCCCUAAGUCAAAUGCUCAUGAUGCAAAUAAGCGUUCCUACUAGGGAUCUGGCAUGAGGCUGCGUUAUUCUAGGUUCAAAAACCUGGGUUUAUUGUUCUAGACCUAGCCUACCCGAGCGGACAUCUCAAGCCGAGGGGGAGGCAGCGUACCGGGAAUACAGAAGCUUCACCGGCUUAGCAACUUAUUCAAACCUUAUUCUAAAUUGGGAAUUAGACUCUAUACAGAAAAGAAAUCACAUGAAGUGCACCCUUCUUUAUGAUUUAGAAGACUCAGAGAGAAGACGGGUUUCAGCGUUGUUUAUAUAUAAUCCAUGAAAAAUCAAAGCGGUAAAAGCAGGCAAUUAGAACAUUAGGCACAGAUCAUGUAACAAACCUGGGUUAUCGUACUAGAUCUGGCUUACCGGAGCGGACAACUCGAGUCGAGGGGGAGGCAACGUACCGGGAAUACAGAAGAUUCACUGGCUAAGCAACUUAUACGAACCUCGUUCUAAUUGGGAAUUAGACUCUAUAUAGAAAAGAAGUCACCGAAGUGUGGCCUUUUUCAUGAUUUAGAAGACUCAGAGAGAAGAUGGGUUUCAGCAUAGUUUAUAUGCAAUGCACGAAAUAUCAAAGCGGUAAAAGUAGGCAAUUAGAAUAUUAAGCACAGAUCAUGUAACAAAUACAUAUAAAUCCAAACACAACAAUUAUUCUAAGCUCGAAUUUUUGAACCCUCAGCAAGAAAUUCUGGGUUCGUUCCCCAGCAGAGUCACCAGAACUGUCACACCUUUUUUUUCGCUACACUCGCAAGGGAACGUGAUUUAUUAUUAAGAAUCAAAUUUGCCACUUGGGAGAUUAAUGGUGUCCCAAGUCACAAGUUGAAUCCCGAACCAAGGAAAAUAUGACUCUGUUUACAGUCAGCGAACCAGAAAUCUGAGUAAGGAAUUCUGUUAACCCGGGAGAAGGUGUUUUGAAUUCCCGAGUUGGUUCUAGCACGGUCGCUCAACUGUCGUGUUUAGCUUAUUUAUCUGAUUUUAUUGAAUGAUAAACCGAUGUGCCGAUUUUAACUUUUAACCGCUUUUAUAUAAUUUUUGAACGUCGGUAAAAAUGUAUCUUUGGAUCGCACCACAUAAAAUGCACCCGCAAUCCUGAACACAUUUUAUUCAAUAUUUUGGGAUUUUAUUUGGGUCACAUGAAAAUCACACUAGAUUUUAAGAAGGUAAUUUUGUUAAAAUCGUGCCUAAACAGACUAACGCGUUCUUAUCUUUGGGGAGAGCCGUGAAAUUCGCUAAACGGUCCGUCCCGAAAUCUAAAUAUACAAACAUUUAUUAAGGGCCCCGUCAUUUAUGUAUUUUUUUAGCGAGGCUCAUCUCAUAUUAUUAUUUUAAAGUCAAACUUAAAGCAACUAUAAUUUUCUAUUUAGUUGUCUCUAAAAAUAAAAGAAAAAGGCCUUAAUUAAUUUGCUACUGGACUUAAUCCAAUCCGAGCAAUCAUUAUGCACCAAGGUCCAACCUAUUGGGCUCCAAGAUAAGCCCAAUGAAGAGAAAUUAUGCUCAGGUCUACACCCAAAAUAACUGGCCAGUACCGACGCUGGUCAGGAAUGAGUCAAUAGGGAGGAAACUGAGCUUUUGGGCUUACUUCAAACGAGCCCAACAACACGAACUCUAAAUUUCACCAAUAAAUCACUUCAGAAAAUUAUUAUGCCCUACCAUGAUUUCAAACGAAUAUAAUAUCACUAUAUGAUUCAAAUGCAACAGUAUCUCAAAUUUGCAAGGCUUACGUCCCACUAUGCAGUCCAAUUACACAAUCCUCCAUGUGUCCAAACUCAAAUCAAUAGAAUAUUAAUCAUUUUGAUUUCGAUUCCCUACUCAAAUUAUUUUAGUUAUUUAUCUACAUGCGAGUUCCUAAAUAUUACUAAAUAUGAAAAUUAAAUUGGAAACAUGGAGCGAAUUCAACCGGGGAAGCAACUUAAACUAACUAUUUUAAAACCAGUUCAAACUAGCAUUAUUCACUCAAGUGACUUUCGAUUCCAAAACUGAAUUAUUGACAUUCAUUUGAACCUGUUUUUACUACUACUAAAAAUAAACUAGACGUUCAACUCAUAGCAGAAAUCUGCAAACAAUUGUUCAUAUUGUCCAGCUAAACACACCAAAAACAAAAGUCUAAAUAGCAUCAAUGAACUAAAAGCUUGAGUACACGAAUCAGAACUGAAUUAAAUCAAACCGUAUGCUUCAAUUAUCGUAUAGAUUCAUCCUUCACAUUUCAGCUAUCAAUUAAGUCAGAGUUGUGUACUUGAGAUUGAAAUGCGAUAUAAGAGAGGAAAAUAAUCAGCGGUAGUAGAUGACAGUGCAAAACCUCAACAGGAGUCGGCUUAAUCACAACCAAAACCCAGGACUAACUCGAUCAAAAUGCUACAAGUGAAUAACCAAAACAAACCCCAAUUAAACCCAAGCAACUGAAAAUGAACCCAGUAAUAACUCUGAAGUUUCAGCCGGUAAAACACAAGCAAUUCUCCAAUCAAAUAACGAGAACUCGAAGCCAAAAAUGAGAAAGCUCUAAUGUAAUAGUAUAAACUUGAAAAUGAUCAAAGAAACUCGAUGAAACAGUGAUUUUUUUUGGUUUUUAUGUAACUUUUGUAUUUUUGAAGGAUUUCUAAGAUGAAAGUGAUUUUCAGAAUUUCAGAUCUAGUUUUGGAAUCUGAAAUUCAAAAUUUUAGUUAUGGAGACUUAGGAGAUUUUUGGGGGGAAUUUUUGGGGUUUAAACUUGCUUUCUAUGGCAGAAUGUGUUGCCUUUUAUAGGCAAAGCUUAAAGGGAAUUUCAGAUUUUUCUAUUUCAUUCUAGUCCCUCUUUAUUUUCAGUUUUUUACUUAAUUAGUUCCUUAUUUUCUGACUUGUGUCUCAAGUUAAUACACUAAAGACUAUUGAAAUUCAAUCUCAAUCACUUUUAGGUGCUUCUAGUAGCUUCUAGAUUCAGUUACUAUCAGAUUCCUCAAGUGAAUUAUCCUUAUUUCCCCUACCUUAAUCUUGAAAUUACUAUCCUACCCCAGCCCAAACUACCAGGGUCAAACCAAUCAGUUAAACCAACUCAAUCAUCAAUCCUAACUAAAAUAAUUACUAAUUUUUGGAUUAAUAGUUACUAAAAUUUAUUAUCCAUCAACAAGCUAAAUAACUGACAAUAAUAGAAUCAGUAAAAAGGAAAUCUACUCAUUGGCAAACAUAAAACAAAUCUAUGCAGGCAGAAUUGUUCAAACAAGCUAAACCUAAUCAAAAUUAUAGACUUCGAACACUAAUCGUAGAUUACUUAAUUAAACCACUCGACACAAAGCAGAACAAAAAUGAAAUCAAACAAGAUUAAAUCAACUAAUUAAACAGAACUCUUAAAAAAUUGAAAAAACUUUUAGCCAUGAAAGCAUAAAAAAUCAUCGCAAAAAAAAAUGAACAAGCGAACUAAGAAAAAAUGAACAAGCGAACUAAUCAUGACAAUUAUGGAUGAAAAUGAGAAAUAACACAUGAAUUACAAUCACACACAACUAAACAAAAUUAAACCACGUUAAUCAUAAAAAAUAAUCAGGGACACUUACUGACUUAUCUUUUAAAAAUUCAGCUAAUUCUCAAAUCCAAAUUCGAUCAUUUUCGACAAGACUUGAAUGCAAAUGAUGAUGAAUUCACCACGAGGGAGGCGAGGGGGUCACACGGUGUCAAUUUGGCGAAGUUUGGGAAAACUAAGGCUUUCAUACGAAAUUCGAUUUAAUAUUCGAACAGUUCUGGUGAGAUUUGAGGGACGAGGUUUGGGGGGUUUGAUAGAGGAUAUCAAGGCGGUUCUAUGGUGUAAUUUUGGUAAAGUUUGGAUGACUUUGGGUUUUGGCCGGAAAACUUUGGUCCAAGAUUCGACAAGUUUGGGUAUGAUUCGAGGGAAAUUGGGGUUGGAUAUAAGAGAGGGAGAGGAGAGGAACCUAGGUUGUGAUUUUGGUACUAUUUGGAGACUGGCCGCCGCCAUGAGGCGAUUUCCGUCGGUAGCGUACGGUGGAGUUACAAGGUCUGUAAAUGGGGUGAGGAAGACGGUAAAUUGGGGAUGGGGAGGG